GGCCGGGGCCCUGCACCGGAAGGGAGGGCGGAAGCCACGGGACGUGGAGCAGAUGGUGAGGAUAGUGGGGAAGGUAGCCGCAGAGGAUGACCCGAGGCAAAAGUGCAAGUGAGGAAAAGUCGCCUUGCCGGGCAGAGGUACCGGACCAAGGCGCCUCCUCUGGGCUGAGGAGUUAGAGGGAAGAAAAUGGCGCCCUGUCAUGAGGGCGCGAGGUCCGAGUUGAGGGGAGAAGACUGAGGGGCACAGAAGUGGCCGAAGUGAGGGCGCUGAGGUCAGCCUGAGCUGAGAGGGCCGGCAGAUCACGCCGCAGCCGAAGUGAACGAACUCGAGUGAGCUCUUCUCUUUUUCAGGAAAUUACUCCAGGAUUUGAAUCAUCACAAGAGAUUCACCAGAGGAUUUUAUACACUUGGGCUGUGGCAGCAGACUAAUUACACCACAGCACUAGGCUAAAGAAGAAAAAUCACAUGAUCAUAUCAAUAGAUGCAGAAAAAGCAUCUGACAAAAACCAGCUCUCAUUCAUGAUCAGAACUCUCAGCAAACUAGUAAUAGAGGGGAACUUACUCAACUUGAUA
rnacentral:antisense_RNA from 1 species